rnacentral:tRNA from 1 species
GGCACCGUAGUUCAAUGGAUAGAAUAAGCGUUUCCUAAACGUUUGAUCUCAGUUCGAUUCUGAGCGGAGCCA